rnacentral:rRNA from 1 species
CCUACGGGUGGCAGCAGUCGAGAAUCAUUCACAAUGGGGGAAACCCUGAUGGUGCGACGCCGCGUGGGGGAAUGAAGGCCUUCGGAUUGUAAACUCCUGUCAUGUGGGAGCAAAUUAAAAAGAUAGUACCCCACGAGGAAGAGACGGCUAACUCUGUGCCAGCAGCCGCGGUAAUACAGAGGUCUCAUGCGUUGUUCGGAAUCACUGGGCGUAAAGCGUGCGUAGGCUGUUUCGUAAGUCGUGUGUGAAAGGCGCGGGCUCAACCCGCGGACGGCACGUGAUACUGCGGGACUAGAGUGAUGGAGGGGGAACCGGAAUUCUCGGUGUAGCAGUGAAAUGCGUAGAUAUCGAGAGGAACACUCGUGGCGAAGGCGGGUUCCUGGACAUUAACUGACGCUGAGGCACGAAGGCCAGGGGAGCGAAAGGGAUUAGAUACCCGUGUAGUC